GAUGAAGAACGCAGCGAAAUGCGAUAAGAAAUGUGAAUUGCAGAAUUCAGUGAAUCAUCGAAUCUUUGAACGCACAUUGCGCCCGCCAGUAUUCUGGCGGGCAUGCCUGUCUGAGCGUCAUUUCAACCCUCAUGCCCCUAGGGCGUGGUGUUGGGGAUCGGCCAAAGCCCGCGAGGGACGGCCGGCCCCUAAAUCUAGUGGCGGACCCGUCGUGGCCUCCUCUGCGAAGUAGUGAUAUUCCGCAUCGGAGAGCGACGAGCCCCUGCCGUUAAACCCCCAACUUUCCAAGGUUGACCUCAGAUCAGGUAGGAAUACCCGCUGAACUUAAGCAUAUCAAUAAGCGGAGGA
rnacentral:misc_RNA from 1 species